rnacentral:rRNA from 1 species
AUGUCGUCCGCUGCAAUGUCCGAUGCCCAAACCUCCGGCGCCAUUGUCUCUUCCCCUAUCGCCUCGAUCCCCGCCGCGCUCGCCGUCCCGAUGAUCUCCGUCCGCCUCGGUCGUCACAACUUCAUGCUGUGGGGGGGCAUCACUAGCACCAUUCUUGCCGGUGCCAACCUCCACGGACACCUCGAUGGCACCAAGGAGGCACCGGCCAAAACACUCGUUGUCGGCACCGGCGACGCUUCUACCACCAUCACCAACCCGGAGUACCACCAAUGGUGGGUUCAAGAUCAGCACAUCAAGGGGCUUCUUCUCACCUCCAUGGAUGAGGAUAUUGCAUGCCAACUUAUUGGCUACGAGUCGGCGCAUGCGGUAUGGACAGUCGUCGCUGCCAUGUUCGGCGCCCAGAGCCGCGCCAAUGUCCGCCACAUCCGGCGGCAACUUCAGUCGCUGAGGAAGGACGAUAUGUCUGCCGCGGAAUACAUGCACAAGAUGAAGGCCCUGGCCGACACUAUGGCCACCGCCGGCUCUCCGAUCCGCGAUGAUGAGCUUAUCGAUCACAUCCUCACCGGCCUCGGCUCCGCCUACAACUCCAUCGCCGCCUCCUUGGGCAUGAGUAACGCACCCAUGCCCUACUCUAGUUUUUACUCAUUGGUUCUGUCCUUCGAGGCGAUGCAGGCACAACAGAGUGCGGUGGAGGGCUGGUCUCCCUCCGCGAACGCCGUGACCCAUUCGGGUUCGUACGGCACGGGCGGACGUGCGCCCUACUCCGAUCCCUAUCCCUCCCAUGGUGGGGGCGCCCAACUGAUGGACAUGGCCAGCCAGGGUAGAACCGCCAGGGCGGUAAUGGCGGCAACACCGGCGGCCGUGACCGCAACGCUGGUUAUGCCGGCAAUGGCCGGCAAGGUGGAGGGGGCAACGCCGGCACCAACAACGGCGGAGGAGGUGGGCGUCGUAAUCGCUGGCGUCCCCGGUGAUAUUGCUUUGAGUUCCCCCCAGGUACAUGUUGCUGCUCCGACGCCUCCUGAUGCGCCCGACAUGCAUGUCGCGCCGCCCAACGCAGGCGUGGCUGCCUCGCCCGAUGACACGACCGCGAACGCGGCUGGGUCGCCACCCUCGCCCGGUCCGUCGCCCGGGCCGCCACCCUCGCCUGUGCCGGUCCAGCACACCAUCAUCUCUAGGCCUGUGUCACCCAUUGCUGAGGUCCCCUCAGCCGCGACACCCUCGGUCGAGCCCUCAUCGUCGUCGUCUUCUCCUACUGGCGAUGCAGCUCCGGCGCAUGCUAUGGAGAGAUCUGCUGGAAAUUGGAGAUGCUCUGAGAUCGCCGCCGCCGCCGCCUCCUCUCCGAGUCUGGGCCACCUAUGCUGCGCGCCGCCGCGAACCCUCCCCUGGGGUGAGGCCGGAGCUUCGCCGCAGGAAUUCCGCGCCGCGCCGCGCCUCCCUCGUCGCUCGUCUCGUCCGCGCAAGACUUUGGUGGGUCUCCGUUCUCAAACCCUAGCUGCUGCUAGUACGAAGGCUGCGGCUUCAUACCCUCGUGUUGGAGUUUCUGGUCGCCACUCCAAGGUCGAGCCGUCGCCAACGUUCUCUCUGGUUGGUACAUCCCUGCCCCCUUCUCCAUAUUUCUCUCUUCCAUCUUGA